GAUGAACGCUGGCGGCGUGCCUAACACAUGCAAGUCGAGCGAACAGACGAGGAGCUUGCUCCUCUGACGUUAGCGGCGGACGGGUGAGUAACACGUGGAUAACCUACCUAUAAGACUGGGAUAAUCUCGGGAAACCGGAGCUAAUACCGGAUAAUAUAUUGAACCGCAUGGUUCAAUAGUGAAAGACGGUUUUGCUGUCACUUCUAGAUGGAUCCGGGCGGCAUUAGCUAGUUGGUAAGGUAAAGGCUUACCAAGGCUACGAUGCGUAGCCGAACUGAGAGAGGGGUAGGCGGCACGAGAGGUGGGACGCGGUCAAGGCGACUGCGAGAGGCAGCAGAAGGGUAUGUGACGCAGUGGGGGAGAGCCUGGCAGAGCGACGGCGCGUGUGUGAUGAAGAUCUUGGGAUCGUAAUACUCUGUUAUUAGGGAAAAACAAAUGUGUAGGUAACUGUGCACGUCUUGACGGUACCUGGUCAAGAAGCCACGGCUAACUACGUG
rnacentral:rRNA from 1 species